rnacentral:lncRNA from 1 species
CAUCAGCAGAGCUCAGACACUUGUCUCCUAUUAAAGAAGAGUCUUCAGAACCUGCACAAGAAGACUGUCCUCAUAGUCCUUUUGGAUCGAGGCAAAGUUUCCCACCAAACCCAGAGGAAAGGCCUAUUAGACCAGGACUGAGAGAAGAGCAAAAAACAUUUGAAGAUUUUGUUGAAGAACAUCUCAAAACAGACCUAGCUAUUCUCCAACACCAGCAUCAGACUAAUACACAAACCGGGGAAGCAGAGAAGAAGAAUUUCCUUCGUAAAGGAGAAGGGGCAUCCAGAAUUUCAAAGGGUAAGGACUGCUCCCAAAGACUCCAGAGGAGACGCUCUGUUAGUCCACAAAUGCUGAACAUGAAGUUCAGGCAGCAGACGCUAUGUCUCACUGAAUUUCAUCAGAAGGAGAUGUCAAAUAGGAGCAGUCCUGGACUGAAGGGUGUAGGAAACCUCAGAGACCAAAAAUCGGGCCUGGAAAACUCUCAAAAGAAGACCGUUUUUCUACAAGAUGAUUAUUUAUCAUCAAACAAUAAAGAGCAAUUCAAAGCUUUGACUGCUGAUGACAAUGCAGUCUCACUUAAAAGUAAGCACAGUGUAGGAGUCGUGGGGAAAACCAAUGGAAGCAAGUCAAGUGGAUCUGCUCUGGCACAAAGUAGAAAAAGUGUUGGUUUUAAAAAAAUUAAUGACCACAUUGUUAAAAUUUCUGAGAAAAAUGCUCUAGCUACAAACUACAGCCAGAGUGGAUAUACAUCUAAAGAAGUCAGUCUAACUGACGAGGUGAUGGAGUCACUGGCUCUUAGCGAUUCCCGCGACAGCACUACCAGUGAGGACGGACCCAGCUCUCAGUCUCAGCGGCCGUUACUUCAUUACCUCUCAAGGCACAUAGACCACAAAGAUCAGAGUUUGGAUUUGUCAGACGGAGACUACGCUAGUGAUGCCCCGAGUGAGACUCGAUUCAAUGAAGGACAGUGCACUUCUACUCCUACGUCCAGCUCCUCAAGCUUCAGCAGCGAUUCUGAACUCAAGAGCUUACAGGGGUCUAUGGCUAACUACUUCAAAAAAACAGAAGAGAGGGGGACUGACAGUGACUUUAGACAACCUUCUGUUCCUGAACCCCUCACAAAGAUGUUCCCAAAAGACAAGGUUAAUCCAGAAGACACCACUCAUGGCAUGGCACUAGAGCAACCACGUACUCCAAUCAGGGAAGAGAUGGGAGAGCGUGGUUUUAAUGGUGAGAAUGGCUGCAGACCUUUGCUCUGGCUUAAGAAAGAACUUCACGAACCUCAGGUAGAAUCAACAACACAUUUUAGACUGAAUUCUUCUUCUUUUUCACAUCACGCCUGCAUAGUGUAUAGAAUCACCACUUUAUGGUUCCAAAAAGUUUAUUUUCACAGCAAUUCCAUGCAAGAAUGAUUUUUGGAACUGUUUCGCUGAACAGUUCUUAGAGUGAAGAACAUUUGAAUAAUCUAAAUAACUUUUUUACACUUUAAAACAC